rnacentral:rRNA from 1 species
GAGUUUGAUCCUGGCUCAGGACGAACGCUGGCGGCGUGCCUAACACAUGCAAGUCGAGCGAUGAAGUUCUUCGGAACGGAUUAGCGGCGGACGGGUGAGUAACACGUGGGUAACCUGCCUUGUAGAGGGGGAUAGCCUUCCGAAAGGAAGAUUAAUACCGCAUAACAUCUUUUUAUCGCAUGGUAGAAAGAUCAAAGGAGCAAUCCGCUACAAGAUGGACCCGCGGCGCAUUAGCUAGUUGGUGAGGUAACGGCUCACCAAGGCGACGAUGCGUAGCCGACCUGAGAGGGUGAUCGGCCACAUUGGAACUGAGACACGGUCCAGACUCCUACGGGAGGCAGCAGUGGGGAAUAUUGCACAAUGGGGGAAACCCUGAUGCAGCAAUGCCGCGUGAGUGAUGACGGCCUUCGGGUUGUAAAGCUCUGUCUUCGGGGACGAUAAUGACGGUACCCGAGGAGGAAGCCACGGCUAACUACGUGCCAGCAGCCGCGGUAAUACGUAGGUGGCAAGCGUUGUCCGGAUUUACUGGGCGUAAAGGGAGCGUAGGCGGAUUUUUAAGUGGGAUGUGAAAUACCCGGGCUCAACUUGGGUGCUGCAUUCCAAACUGGUUAUCUAGAGUGCAGGAGAGGAGAGUGGAAUUCUAGUGUAGCGGUGAAAUGCGUAGA